rnacentral:rRNA from 1 species
UACGGGGGGAGCAAGCGUUGUUCGGAUUUACUGGGCGUAAAGGGCGCGUAGGCGGCCACUGCAAGUCGGUUGUGAAAUCUCCGGGCUUAACCCGGAAAGGUCAAUCGAUACUGCAGGGCUAGAGUGCAGAAGGGGCAACUGGAAUUCUCGGUGUAGCGGUGAAAUUCGUAGAUAUUGGGAAGAACACCGGUGGCGAAGGCGGCUCUCUGGACCGACACUGACGCUGAGGCGCGAAAGCGUGGGGAGCAAACAGG